GCAUGUAACUCCGCCUGUCGUGAAUACACAGCCGGUCCCAAGCCCGGAUUAAGGAGGAGGGUUGC
rnacentral:ribozyme from 3 species